rnacentral:rRNA from 1 species
GCAAGUCGAACGAACUCUGGUAUUGAUUGGUGCUUGCAUCAUGAUUUACAUUUGAGUGAGUGGCGAACUGGUGAGUAACACGUGGGAAACCUGCCCAGAAGCGGGGGAUAACACCUGGAAACAGAUGCUAAUACCGCAUAACAACUUGGACCGCAUGGUCCGAGUUUGAAAGAUGGCUUCGGCUAUCACUUUUGGAUGGUCCCGCGGCGUAUUAGCUAGAUGGUGAGGUAACGGCUCACCAUGGCAAUGAUACGUAGCCGACCUGAGAGGGUAAUCGGCCACAUUGGGACUGAGACACGGCCCAAACUCCUACGGGAGGCAGCAGUAGGGAAUCUUCCACAAUGGACGAAAGUCUGAUGGAGCAACGCCGCGUGAGUGAAGAAGGGUUUCGGCUCGUAAAACUCUGUUGUUAAAGAAGAACAUAUCUGAGAGUAACUGUUCAGGUAUUGACGGUAUUUAACCAGAAAGCCACGGCUAACUACGUGCCAGCAGCCGCGGUAAUACGUAGGUGGCAAGCGUUGUCCGGAUUUAUUGGGCGUAAAGCGAGCGCAGGCGGUUUUUUAAGUCUGAUGUGAAAGCCUUCGGCUCAACCGAAGAAGUGCAUCGGAACACUGGGAAACUUGAGUGCAGAAGAGGACAGUGGAACUCCAUGUGUAGCGGUGAAAUGCGUAGAUAUAUGGAAGAACACCAGUGGCGAAGGCGGCUGUCUGGUCUGUAACUGACGCUGAGGCUCGAAAGUAUGGGUAGCAAACAGGAUUAGAUACCCUGGUAGUCCAUACCGUAAACGAUGAAUGCUAAGUGUUGGAGGGUUUCCGCCCUUCAGUGCUGCAGCUAACGCAUUAAGCAUUCCGCCUGGGGAGUACGGCCGCAAGGCUGAAACUCAAAGGAAUUGACGGGGGCCCGCACAAGCGGUGGAGCAUGUGGUUUAAUUCGAAGCUACGCGAAGAACCUUACCAGGUCUUGACAUACUAUGCAAAUCUAAGAGAUUAGACGUUCCCUUCGGGGACAUGGAUACAGGUGGUGCAUGGUUGUCGUCAGCUCGUGUCGUGAGAUGUUGGGUUAAGUCCCGCAACGAGCGCAACCCUUAUUAUCAGUUGCCAGCAUUAAGUUGGGCACUCUGGUGAGACUGCCGGUGACAAACCGGAGGAAGGUGGGGAUGACGUCAAAUCAUCAUGCCCCUUAUGACCUGGGCUACACACGUGCUACAAUGGAUGGUACAACGAGUUGCGAACUCGCGAGAGUAAGCUAAUCUCUUAAAGCCAUUCUCAGUUCGGAUUGUAGGCUGCAACUCGCCUACAUGAAGUCGGAAUCGCUAGUAAUCGCGGAUCAGCAUGCCGCGGUGAAUACGUUCCCGGGCCUUGUACACACCGCCCGUCACACCAUGAGAGUUUGUAACACCCAAAGUCGGUGGGGUAACCUUUUAGGAACCAG